GUUCUGUGUAUUUAUGUGCUAAGCAGUAGUCGACCGUGCAAACCAUAGCAGGAACUUCCUUUUGGAAGGUCUUUCAUCUCUGAAAGCAGCUUACUGUAGCCAUCACGGUUAAUUUUAUUAUUGGCACUCAGGCCUAAACCUCGUGAAACUGCAGCUGCAGAGCACCUUUGCACGUAAUGACUAUCCUGGGAAUUCACAGUUCUGGGUGAAAAGAAAGAUAUUUGAAGCUAUGCAAGAGUUCUGAAAAUAGAUCACCAAGCACCACCUGUAUGUACAGUACUAGAGAAAAGACUGUACAAGACAAAUGAAUCAAGACAUGGACCUCUGAUAGCAGAAGAUGAAGUGGAAAGGAAACGGUGAUAAUUCUCCUACGAUAAUACUCCUAAACAGAUUGUGAUACAUAGAUGCAGUUGAGGUUGGAUAGUAAGGCAUGGAAUUACUAAGCUAAAGAGCAGGCUCACUGAAAAUGUACAUAAAUUCACAUGAUGGGCCUAUCUCAUUUUAGGACUAAUGAGC